rnacentral:rRNA from 1 species
UACAGAGGGUGCGAGCGUUGUUCGGAAUUACUGGGCGUAAAGCGCGCGCAGGCGGCCCUUUAAGUCUGACGGUGAAAUGCCGGGGCUCAACCCCGUGCCCGCCGCGGAUACUGGAGGGCUGGAGACACGUAGAGGCAAGCGGAAUUCCGGGUGUAGCGGUGGAAUGCGUAGAGAUCCGGAAGAACACCGGAGGCGAAGGCGGCUUGCUGGGCGUAGUCUGACGCUGAGGCGCGAAAGCGUGGGGAGCGAACAGG